UACAGAGGUCUCGAGCGUUGUUCGGAUUCAUUGGGCGUAAAGGGCGCGUAGGCGGCGGGGCAAGUCGGGUGUGAAAUCUCAGAGCUCAACUCUGAAACUGCACUCGAUACUGCUUUGCUUGAGGACUGGAGAGGAGAUUGGAAUUCACGGUGUAGCAGUGAAAUGCGUAGAUAUCGUGAGGAAGACCAGUGGCGAAGGCGGAUCUCUGGACGAGUUCCGUGACGC
rnacentral:rRNA from 1 species